UACGAAGGGUGCAAGCGUUACUCGGAAUUACUGGGCGUAAAGCGCGCGUAGGUGGCCUCGUAAGUCCGCUGUGAAAGUCAAAGGCUCAACCUUUGAAAGCCGAUGGAUACUGCGGAGCUAGAGUACGGAAGAGGCGAGUGGAAUUCCUGGUGUAGCGGUGGAAUGCGCAGAUAUCAGGAGGAACACCAAUAGCGAAGGCAGCUCGCUGGGACGUUACUGACACUGAGGCGCGAAAGCGGGGGGAGCGAACCGG
rnacentral:rRNA from 1 species